rfam:Triticum aestivum genome assembly, contig: Triticum_aestivum_CS42_TGACv1_scaffold_569709_7AS
GUAAUACUCCCUCCGUCCGGAAAUACUUGUCGUAGAAAUGGAUAUAUACAUCCAUAUCCAUAUCCAUUUCUCCGACAAGUAUUUCUGGACGGAGGGAGUAAGUA